ensembl:processed_transcript Gm13778 predicted gene 13778
AGUUUUUAGCCUGGCGGAUAACUGAAAAGGAGUUUGCACAGGUGCGGGUGCAAUCUAAGAACCCAGGUGGGUCGCCAGAAGGUCUCACAACAUGCAUGGAGUGAGGCCGUGUCUGGAGAAGCCUCCACGAGGAAGAAGGGUCAGAAUCACUAGCACCAGUGAAUGUGCAUUUCUGAUCAGCCGGAUACCCGGACAACCAUAAGUGGUUGUGGUCCAGCCCAAAGCAAACAGACUUCAGCAUCGUAGUUGGGCUGUGCCCCAGAGCCACAGAGAUGCACAUUUUCUAGAAGACUUUGGGAGACACAAAGCUUUCUCCAAGACUUUAAGAUCUGGAUACAACUGAGACAUCUGAAGAAGCUACAUGUAUGGGUAUAUAACUGGUAGCUGGGGACCUUGGGCCUCAUCUAUAGCAUGAGAACACUCACGGGGAAGGAAGGCUGUAGUUAGUAUUUAUGAGGAUACCCAGCUUUUGAGGACAUUGUUAGGGUUGUUAUCUUGGUUUUGUUUUUAAGAUUAAAAAAAAAGUGUACAAGUGUU